UUACAGAAAAUGUGGGUCACAGCUUGCAAAAUUCCUAGUAUUCAUAAAAUCAUUCCACAUCUCUAAACAUUUGACAACAAGAAAUGGAGAUCGACUGACAGAGACUACAGCCGUGUAUUGGGGAACUCGAAACCGGAACUUGGAAAGGCAGAUCGAGAUCCCGCCCUGAAGAUGUUCACUUAGUUUACUGCUUUCUUUAUACAAUGACCCUGCGACCUCACGCCUUCCGCAUUCCCGAAAUCGCACUUUCGUUUUGAUUUGUGAACAUCGCCAGAUCACUCACGAAAACCCCGAAGUUGCGACUUGUGUCCACUGGAGUGUAUGAUUGUAAACGACUGGGGCUGUCCACCUUCUGCAACCUUCUGCCACCAGAACAGAAAAUUCGGAGCCACACGUGACCGGAAACGUAAAAGAAACCUUUCACGCCCAAAGGAGGAUACGAAAAACUGGACGGGGAUGUGUAUUCCAUGACAUGUCAUUGGCCUGCCUCAAGUAAAGAAAAAGUGUUCCAUGAGAAGGUUAAAUGGAACUGAUACUGAGAUAACCUUUUGGUGACAGUAAGGACUGCAUCAAUUGGAGAGAAGAUGGCACUUAUAACUAAGUUGAUUUUCCUGGAUUUGUGGAUCAUUCUCUCUGCUCAGAUAGCAAAGGGACCAAGUUCAAAUUGGGAGAAGCCAAAAGUGUUUAUAAAUUAUAAGAAGUCCUGCUUUGGAAAUGAGAGUUCUGAAGAUUCCUAUGACAGCAGCGUUGAUGGCUUUUUUCCGGUGGGCUGCACAGUACAAGUGAAAUGCCAGUAUUAUGACUGCACAGCAAAACGAAAUAACAGUUUUAUAUAUAUUCAACUCAAUAAUGCUGAACUAAACAGAUCAGUCAGUCUCUUGGCAAGAAGUGAAUGUGACGUUGAAGCCCUGAUAACUGAUGUGACCAAGGACUUCAAUAGUGCUAGAGUUGAAUGUAAAGACUUGCUUAACCCUUUUGAAACUCGAGAAGGUCACUUACAAUUGGAUAUCCACCAUUCAAACCUGAGAACAUUACUGUGAUGUAUUCCAGUAAGUCCAUUAGUCUCACAUUUGAUAAGGUGAAACAGGCGACCAACUGAUGAGAUGCAGAGUGGAGCAUUGUGUAUGACUGGAGGGAGAUGUGCAACUGUAGCAACAUUAAAAAAGGCUCCAGGAACGUGACAUGUACAAUUGUUCUCAAUGACAAACCAGAUGGGGGAUAUUAUGAUGACAAUUGUUUGGGCACCCUGUACAAUAAAACCCCUUUCAUCAUCACAGCUGUAAACAAGUUUGGGAAAAUGGAGACCUCAGAAUCAUUUU